GUAGAUAUAGUUUAACAAAAACACUAGAUUGUGAGUCUAACAAUAAAAGAUUAAACCUUUUUAUCUACC
rnacentral:tRNA from 1 species